CCGCGUGCGGGAUGGAGGCCUUCGGGUUGUAAACCGCUUUUGUUCAAGGGGCAAGGCAGGCUUUCGGGCCUGUUGAGUGGAUUGUUCGAAUAAGCACCGGCUAACUACGUGCC
rnacentral:rRNA from 1 species